UACGAAGGGGGCUAGCGUUGUUCGGAAUCACUGGGCGUAAAGGGCGCGUAGGCGGCUAUUCAAGUCGGGGGUGAAAGCCUGUGGCUCAACCACAGAAUUGCCUUCGAUACUGUUUGGCUUGAGACCGGAAGAGGACAGCGGAACUGCGAGUGUAGAGGUGAAAUUCGUAGAUAUUCGCAAGAACACCAGUGGCGAAGGCGGCUGUCUGGUCCGGUUCUGACGCUGAGGCGCGAAAGCGUGGGGAGCAAAC
rnacentral:rRNA from 1 species